rnacentral:rRNA from 1 species
GACGAACGCUGGCGGCGUGCCUAAUACAUGCAAGUCGAGCGGAUGGAAGGAAGCUUGCUUCCUAAAGUCAGCGGCGGACGGGUGAGUAACACGUGGGCAACCUGCCCCUAAGAUCGGGAUAACUUCGGGAAACCGGAGCUAAUACCGGAUAUGAUUAUGUCUCACAUGAGACAUAAUGGAAAGACGGUUUCGGCUGUCACUUAGGGAUGGGCCCGCGGCGCAUUAGCUAGUUGGUGAGGUAACGGCUCACCAAGGCGACGAUGCGUAGCCGACCUGAGAGGGUGAUCGGCCACACUGGGACUGAGACACGGCCCAGACUCCUACGGGAGGCAGCAGUAGGGAAUCUUCCGCAAUGGACGAAAGUCUGACGGAGCAACGCCGCGUGAGUGAAGAAGGUUUUCGGGUCGUAAAACUCUGUUGUUAGGGAAGAACAAGUACCAUAGUAACUGAUGGUACCUUGACGGUACCUAACCAGAAAGCCACGGCUAACUACGUGCCAGCCGCCGCAGUAA